rnacentral:misc_RNA from 1 species
CUGCGAAAUUUGCCGGUCUUCUAACAACCUCAACUGAAAGUAAUGUGCUAAACUAAAUUAACUAAUUUUAUUUUUAGAAAAAAUCUCCUGGCUUCCCUGUGUUUUUGCUUUGUAAACAAAAUUUUUGACCACUUUUCCAAGGAAUUCUCUUUCUUGCCGACACUUUCUUCUUCAAAAUUCUGCGAACAUCUUUUUGAUUUCUUUUUCUUUUUCCUUUCUUUUUCAAUUUUUAUUCACAAAUAAACCCAUUUUUGCUUAAGUGAUAUUAAUCGUCAGCGAACCACUCCUGCCUUUAAUUUAUUGAUUAAAAUGAUCACGACAAGAAGUGGAAUAGUUCUUAUGGAGAAUAAAUUUGCAGAAUUUAUGCAAAUUCAAGGAAGAGUAGAAUCUACAGAUGCUUUGAUAUUUUGGAAGUGAAGAAUCAAGUACAAGACGGAAUUAAGGUGAAAAAAAAAAAAAAGAUGCCAGCUGAGGAGGAAGCUCAA